rnacentral:ribozyme from 1 species
AUCUGAUCACUAAUGCUAAUGGGGUAGGAACCAAGGCUCCUUUGGGGGUCCUAUAGGCUCUCCUACUCAACUCCUAUUCCGUCACGUCUUUGUCGUGAAGAGUGGUAACUUGUCCCAACGCAUAUUAGAGCUUGAGUACACGGGUUAUUCUCAACCUCUUGGGCGGAUGGUGGAGCAUAGCUAAACGGGACAGC